rnacentral:rRNA from 1 species
AAGUCGAACGGCAGCACGGGAGCAGUCCUGGUGGCGAGUGGCGAACGGGUGAGUAAUACAUCGGAACGUGCCUAGUAAUGGGGGAUAGCCCGGCGAAAGCCGGAUUAAUACCGCAUACGACCUACGGGUGAAAGCGGGGGAUCGCAAGACCUCGCGUUAUUGGAGCGGCCGAUGUCAGAUUAGGUUGUUGGUGGGGUAAAAGCCUACCAAGCCGACGAUCUGUAGCUGGUCUGAGAGGACGACCAGCCACACUGGGACUGAGACACGGCCCAGACUCCUACGGGAGGCAGCAGUGGGGAAUUUUGGACAAUGGGCGCAAGCCUGAUCCAGCCAUGCCGCGUGCGGGAAGAAGGCCUUCGGGUUGUAAACCGCUUUUGUCAGGGAAGAAACGGUCUGCACUAAUACUGCGGACUAAUGACGGUACCUGAAGAAUAAGCACCGGCUAACUACGUGCCAGCAGCCGCGGUAAUACGUAGGGUGCAAGCGUUAAUCGGAAUUACUGGGCGUAAAGCGCGCGCAGGCGGCUUUGCAAGACAGAUGUGAAAUCCCCGGGCUUAACCUGGGAACUGCAUUUGUGACUGCAAGGCUGGAGUGCGGCAGAGGGGGAUGGAAUUCCGCGUGUAGCAGUGAAAUGCGUAGAUAUGCGGAGGAACACCGAUGGCGAAGGCGGCCCACUGGAUCGGUACUGACGCUGAGGUGC